GGAUGAUAGCUGUGAGUGCUAUGUAAAAAUGGGAGUAGAAGUAUAAAAGCAGAUAUCACACUCAACAUGAGACUCCAGCUUCCUCCUUUUGAAGUUAAUCUCCAAACAGCUAAACCAGGAAUGGCCAACUGUAGCAGAAGUGCUAAGUCAGGGCUUGAAGCAGUGAUUGAGCAUGUGGUGGGAAAGCUGGGCCAACACAAGCCAGGUCAGAUACAUACAAUACACCUGAGUGACUAGAAGGGGUGGAUGCAGGAUCCACCCCGUCCCAGACCUCAUUUAAGAGUUGGCAGUGGAGGCAAGGCUAUCUUGCUGGAGAUCCCUGAUGUUUUGAGGCCUUUCAAAGAGUAAGAACAACUAUUUGGACAUCAUAUAUCAGCGUGUUUGAGGCUUCCAAAAUGUCUCUUGUAAGUGUACCUUCUCUGGGUUAAUAAGUUGACCAAUGUCAUAUAAAAGCUACAGCAGGCUCUCUAGACCACUCCUGGCCCAAGUAUGACGCAUUUAAUCCUUCUGUCCAGCGUUCCUAAUCUACAAUGUUUUGAUCCUUGGAUUUCUUUCAAGCAAUGAACAGCUUGUAUAGUUGUGUCUCAGAGACUGAGAAGUCCCUUUCAUUCUGAAAGUACUCUGAUUUCUCUGCAAAUGAAGUUGAGUUGUUUUGAACUGUGCUUUUGUUG
ensembl:lncRNA